AUGGAUGUCAACAGAGCACCAGGGCCUGAUAACAUUCCUGCUGAAUUUUAUCAGUACUGUUGGGAUAUAGUUAAAAAUGAUAUCAUGAGGCUUUUUGACAGCUUCCACACAGGCACACUGGAUGUGCAGCGCCUUAACUAUGGCAUUAUCACCUUGCUCCCUAAAGUCUCGGGGGCUGAUCGUAUACAACAAUUUCGACCUAUCUGCCUUCUUCGUUGUCCCUACAAGUUGAUCACCAAGGUUAUGGAUAGGAGAGUUUCUAGGUACGCUGACAUCCUUAUCAGUCCCACUCAGAAUGCCUUUGUAAAAGGCAGAAGCAUUAUGGAUGGGUUGUUGGCUCUCCACGAACUUCUCAACUAUACCCAUGUCAAAAAGAGGGUCGGGGUGGUCCUCAAACUUGAUUUCGAAAAAGCCUACGAUAAAGUCAAUUGGGACUUCCUACUUGAGUGUCAUAAGAUGCGAGGCUUUGAUCCCAAAUGGUGUAGCUGGGUUGAGCAAAUCCUUCGCAAUGGCACAGUCAGCAUCAAGUUGAAUAAUUGUGUCGGGCCCUAUUUCCGAAGUGCUAAAGGGGUACGCCAGGGGGACCCAUAUUCUCCUUUCUUGUUUAAUAUGGAUGUGGAAUGCCUCACUAAAAUGAUCAAGAAUGCCCAGAACAAUAAUCUCAUUGUUGGGUUAGCUUUGGAUCUUAUUCCACAUGGAGUUGCGGUGCUGCAAUAUGCAGACGACACGAUCAUCUGUCUAGAGCACGAUAUGGAAAAGGCCGUUAAUCUUAAACUCCUGUUGUACGCUUUUGAAAUGAUGUCUGGCCUCAAGGUUAAUUUUCACAAGAGUGAGAUCUUAACCGUUGGGGGGAUGCCCAGACUACUAAGGCUUAUGCUAAGCUAUUCAAUUGCGAUAUAG
rnacentral:rRNA from 1 species